GCCAAAAGUGUCUCGCAGAUGCUCUUUAUGACACCAGCUGACAGAUUAAUGAGUGCACUCAUAGAGAACAUAACAAGGUACAUAUUGAAGGAUGUUCUGAGGCUAGCACCUGGUUUAGAAGUUUUGCAAUUCACAGCAAUACCUCAUAAUUUUGAUUUGAUGUCCAGAAUGUCAAUUGAAGAAUGAGCCUACAAACUACAUUGUAGUUUGUAAUAUAUCCUUAUAUAUGGUGCUUGUGUUUUUUUUUCAAUUAUAAGUUUGCAUUUAUGGGCAUUACAAAGUCCCCCUUUCUUUUUCCACAAGGGACAGUAGCUGUGCCAUUCGAUUCGAAGGACAAAGAGUUGAUCACAAUGGGGUAGGAUUCAGGAUAUAUACACAAGAGUAUAGAACCAAAUUAUAUGAUGUAAUUGACCACUAUUUCUAUUAACUUUUCUUGUACACAAUGUU